rnacentral:sRNA from 1 species
GCGGAGACACAUGUUUCCGUUCACUCCUCACACCACACUCCGCCCGGACGAUUCGUUCGGGUGGUU